GCUAGGUGUGGUGGCAUGUGCCUGUAGUCCCAGCUACUUGGGAGGCUGAAGCUAGAAGACUGAUUGAGUCCAGGAGUUCUGGGCUGUAGGGCGCUAUGCUGAUCGAGUGUCGGCACUAAGUCCAACAUGGUGACCUCCUGGGAGCCAGGGACCACCAGGUUGCCUAAGAAGGGAUGAACUGGCCCAGGUCGGAAACAGAACUGGUCAACUCUUGUGCUGAUCAGUAGCGGGACUGCACCUGUGAAUAGCCACUGCACUCUAGCCUGGGCAGCAUAGCAAGACCCUGUCUCC
rnacentral:SRP_RNA from 1 species